rnacentral:rRNA from 1 species
CCUACGGGUGGCAGCAGUGAGGAAUAUUGGUCAAUGGACGCGAGUCUGAACCAGCCAAGUAGCGUGAAGGAUGACUGCCCUACGGGUUGUAAACUUCUUUUAUAUGGGAAUAAAGUGAGCCACGUGUGCGUUUUUGUAUGUAUUUUAUGAAUAAGGAUCGGCUAACUCCGUGCCAGCAGCCGCGGUAAUACGGAGGAUCCGAGCGUUAUCCGGAUUUAUUGGGUUUAAAGGGAGCGUAGAUGGGUUGUUAAGUCAGUUGUGAAAGUUUGCGGCUCAACCGUAAAAUUGCAGUUGAUACUGGCAGUCUUGAGUACAGUUGAGGUAGGCGGAAUUCGUGGUGUAGCGGUGAAAUGCUUAGAUAUCACGAAGAACUCCGAUUGCGAAGGCAGCUCACUAAACUGCAACUGACACUGAGGCUCGAAAGUGUGGGUAUCAAACAGGAUUAGAUACCCGAGUAGUC